CGUAGGAGGCAAGCGUUAUCCGGAUUUACUGGGCGUAAAGCGCGUGUAGUCGGCCCGGUAAGUUGGAUGUGAAAGCUCCCGGCUUAACUGGGAGAGCUCGUUCAAUACUGUCGUGCUAGAGGAUGGGAGAGGGAGAUGGAAUUCCGGGUGUAGUGGUGAAAUGCGUAGAUAUCCGGAGGAACACCAGUGGCGAAGGCGACCUCCUGGCCCAUUUCUGACGCUCAGACGCGAAAGCUAGGGGAGCGAACGGGAUUAGAGACCCCGGUAGUCCUAGCUGUAAACGAUGUAGACUCGGCGUUGAUGGGGUAAAAUCCAUCAGUGCCGAAGCAAACGCGAUAAGUCUACCGCCUGGGGACUACGGCCGCAAGGCUAAAACUCAAAAGAAUUGACGGGGGCCCGCACAAGCAGCGGAGCGUGUGGUUUAAUUCGAUGCUACACGAAGAACCUUACCAGGGUUUGACAUGUUGGUUGUAGGAAACUGAAAAGGGACCGACCCUUCGGGGAGCCAUCACAGGUGCUGCAUGGCUGUCGUCAGCUCGUGUCGUGAGAUGUUCGGUUAAGUCCGCUAACGAGCGCAACCCUCGCCGUGUGUUAUAUGUGUCACACGGGACCGCCGGUCAUAAACCGGAGGAAGGUGAGGAUGACGUCAAGUCAGCAUGGCCUUUAUAUCCUGGGCUACACACACGCUACAAUGGCCAGCACAAUAGGUAGCGAAGUCGCGAGGCGGAGCCAAUCCCUAAAGUUGGCCUCAGUUCAGAUUGUAGGCUGCAACCCGCCUGCAUGAAGUCGGAGUUGCUAGUAACCGCAGGUCAGCAAUACUGCGGUGAUACGUUCCCGGGCGUUGUACACACCGCCCGUCACGUCAUGGAAGCUGGCAACACCUGAAGCCGGUAUCAUAACCCGCAAGGGAGGGAGCCGUCGAGGGUGGGGUUGGUAACUGGGACGAA
rnacentral:rRNA from 1 species